CAUCAUUUUCAUGCGGAGUUUUGGUGAUCUUAUGGCCAUUUAAAGAUCAUGACAGAUUGGGACUCCAGACUCUAAAUUUCUCUUGAGAACUUUUUCUUUCAUUAAUUGUAUUCUAUGAAUAAAUUGCUCAGACUUGCACGGACCUUGACCUUGCUGUACCUUGUUAUUAAUUGCCAGGAUGAAAUUUUUGCAAUACUGGUUGUUCUAUUUCAGAUUAUAUAUGCAUCUUUUCUUGUUUGGUUUGUAUAUUUCCAUUGUCAAGCAAGGGUUGCUAGCAAUCACUUUGGAUCAA
rnacentral:lncRNA from 1 species